rnacentral:siRNA from 1 species
CUUACAAUGAACUUAUAGCCUA